AUCACUUCUCUGCCUUUUGGCUAAGAUCAGGUGUAGAAAGUACUUAAUAAAUAAAGAAUAACUGCAAAAUAAACAUCAAGGUAAUUUUUGGAGGGAAGGCACUCAAUUAAGAGCUUGCUAUGCAAUAUAUAUUGUAUAUAGGUCAGUAUAUCACUA
ensembl:snRNA U2 U2 spliceosomal RNA